GGGAACUACGAGCCAAGCUUAAAACCCAAAGGACUUGACGGUACCCCACAUCCCCCUAGAGGAGCCUGUCCUGUAAUCGAUAACCCCCGUUUAACCUCACCAUUUCUAGCAACUCAGCCUGUAUACCUCCGUCGUCAGCUUACCACGUGAGCGCUAGUAAGCUCAAUGUUUUUUCAACUAAACGUCAGGUCAAGGUGCAACACAUGAAAUGGGAAGAGAUGGGCUACACUUUCUAACAUAGACCACACGGAAGACUAACUAUGAAAUCUAGUCAGAAGGCGGAUUUAGAAGU
rnacentral:rRNA from 1 species